rnacentral:rRNA from 1 species
UACGUAGGGUGCAAGCGUUGUCCGGAAUUAUUGGGCGUAAAGAGCUCGUAGGCGGUGUGUCGCGUCGGCUGUGAAAACCUGCAGCUUAACUGUGGGCUUGCGGUCGAUACGGGCAUCACUGGAGUUCGGCAGGGGAGACUGGAAUUCCUGGUGUAGCGGUGAAAUGCGCAGAUAUCAGGAGGAACACCGGUGGCGAAGGCGGGUCUCUGGGCCGAUACUGACGCUGAGGAGCGAAAGCGUGGGGAGCGAACAGG